UUGUUUGACCUCGGAUCAGGUAGGGAUACCCGCUGAACUUAAGCAUAUCAAUAAGCGGAGGA
rnacentral:rRNA from 1 species